CUUGGGGCGCUGGCGCCUCCUCUUACAGCUUUACUCCUGCCAGCUUGGGAAAAGGCCGGAGAAGGUGAAAUUCUGUGUGCUCCCUCUGGCGAGAGACUUUGUCAGCUCCCGCACAGUAACAGAGAGUGUUUUGCUCUGUUGGCUAGGCUGGAGUGCAGUGGUUGGGUCAUGGCUCACUGCAGCUGUUACCGGAUAGAGGUCCCGAUCCAUAUCCUAAGAGAAGGUUCUUGGAUAUCAUGCAAGAAAGAAUUUCAGAUCCUGAAUAAAGUCAAAACUCAACCAACAGGUGGAAGUCCAAGAAUCCGAGUGGAGGCUCACCAAGGCGAAGGGGCCAAGCAUGGGAAAGGAGAGUGGAUGGGACUCAGGCAGGGCUGCUGUAGCAGCUGUGGUCGGAGGAGUUGUGGCUGUGGGGACUGUGCCCGUGGCGCUCAGUGCCAUGGGCUUCACCUCAGUAGGAAUCGCCGCAUCCUCCAUAGCAGCGAAGAUGAUGUCUACAGCAGCCAUUGCCAACGGGGGCGGAGUUGCCGCGGGCAGUCUGGUGGCUAUUCUGCAGUCAGUGGGUGAGUGUUCUGGACAGGAUGACCAGAGCCAGGAGAUGAUCCAGCCCCAAGGCUGAACCAGGGAGGCCUCUCCUCUCCCUGCAGGGGCAGCUGAACUCUCCGUGACAUCUAAAGUUAUCCUGGGCUUUGCUGGGACAGCUCUUGGGGCCUGGCUGGGUUCACCCCCUUCCAGCUGAACACCACACUGAGGCAGGGAGUUGGCUCUCUUGGUGGAGAUGACUUUCCUGGGCCUCUGGAUGACAAUCUUCCAAAGGACAAGUCUCCUACUCCCAAAACUAUUUAAGGAAGCAUGAAAAAUAAAGAUGCUGGUGAUCUUC